UUUUCAGAAAUGUCCCCAAGCUGACAUCUUGCUAUGAGAUGCUUGGUGGGCAGACCGGGAAGAUGGGGACCCCUCUAAGGAUGCGGCAAGCCACUGAGGCCCGGGUGCUGGAGACCAGGGAUGGCCCCUUCACUUACCCUCAUUGAUAUCUGAAGUUUUUCAGAAGCCUUCACCAGGGCCACUGUCCCGGGGUGCAGAGCCCCGCCCUGGGAUAGUUUGCCAGAGCUGCUUCGAAGCCCCUCCGCUCCCUUCCCUCGGGGUCUGGGGACUCACCCCUCGCGCUUGUCCAGCUGCUCUCCCUCUGCCGUGGUAUUGCAUCUCUCGUGGAAGAAGGAUUCCAUUCUCCCAAGGAAGCGAGUCUCCUGCGUGCGGAAGAGCCACUGGCCAGGACGCCCCCGGGUCAAGCUACAACAAGGAACGUGGAGCCGCCAGUCCCUUUUCCGGCUUGGCCAUUUUCUAGGAACUGGGAAGCCAACCUUCAUGAGAACCCACACCAGCAAGACCUUGCCCAGGCUCACCCCUUCCCAGCCUGGGCUGAGCUUUAGCUAUCUGGAAAAGGAUCUGCUAGCAGGACCAGGGGCGCUGGUCCCCUGAACCCACACUCCCAUGACUCCCCCUCUAAAUAUUCAGUACUCUACUUUCAGGAAGGAGAUUUGAGUUCAGGCAGCCAAAGAAAAGCCUCCAGAGGCAAAGGUUCCCGUAAUUCCUUCAUAAGCGGGCUGGCCUUCAAUGGAGCCCCACUAUGUCCUUAAAACUAGGAAAGAGGAAAUUCUUCCUACCUCCUCCGUUUGGUCCCAGAGCUUAGCUCUCACCCCAAGGUUUUUCCAUUUACCAUCAACAUGGAAACUUGGCUCUUCACAAGGGUAUAUUCUCCCUCUUUCGUGCAUUAUCUUGUUCCUCAAAACUGCCCUUCUGUGAAAGAGGCCUGUGGGACCUAAGGAGCCUGGUCAGCCACCCAGGCCCCAAUAAAGUCCCUCAUACCUCAGGAGAGAGCGGGAAGAGUUUAAUAAAGGCGUGACAGCACGCUUUACUGCCUGAGCUCGCAUUUGGUGUGCUGAUUCACAAGCAAAGCCCUGGAUCCCAUUUUCCUUCCCACACCAAUCAGAUGGAUUUGUGUUUGUACUAGGGAGGGACCUGGGCUACGAGGAUGGCUGUGAUAGGGGGUCACCCUGGCCCUCCCACCUCCCCCUCUGAAUAAUGUUCAGGAUCUUAGGGACUUGACACCAGUUUACUUGACACCUGGCAAGGUUUCUCUGCGUAUUUGUGUUAGGGCAAGGACUAAAGGGAAUGGAUAUAUCCUGCAGAACAUCAGGCCUUCAGAGGAUGUGGGAGGAGGAAAUAGCAAUUGAUUUAUGAUUUUUGAAACUUUGUUCUGGUCUUUGAAUGAAGUCAAAAAAACUAUUGGGAGCAGAUUUCUAGUGUGAGAGAGGUGGUGUCCUAACUGAAGUGUGAGAAGGUUGCUAGUGACAUAACUCAGGUUAUUACGGUUUAGAUACAGGGUGUAGCCCAAAAGCUCAUGUGUGAGGCAACGCAAGAGGAUUUAGAGGUGAAACAACUGGGUUAUGAGAGACUGGAGCUAAUCAGUGCUGAUCCACUGAUAGGGAUUAACUGGUUGGUGAUUGUAGGCAGGCAUCUGAGGAGAUGGGCGUGCGUGCCCUUGGAAUUUAUGAAUUCUCCCAGCUGCUUUCCUCUGCCACAUACUUCCGCCACAGUGUUCGGCCUCACUGUGAGUCCCUAGGAAUGGAAUUGGCUGUCCAUGGACUGAGACUAUGUGAGACCGUGAACCCCCAAAUAAACUCUUCCUCCUCUGA